rnacentral:rRNA from 1 species
UACGGAGGUGGCAAGCGUUGCUCGGAAUCACUGGGCGUAAAGGGCGCGUAGGCGGGGAGGUAAGUCGGGUGUGAAAUCCCUCGGCCCAACCGAGGAACUGCGCCCGAGACUGCUUCUCUUGAGUCCCGGAGAGGAAGGUGGAAUUCCCGGUGUAGCGGUGAAAUGUGUAGAGAUCGGGAGGAACACCGGUGGCGAAGGCGGGUGACUGGCCAAACACUGACACUGAGACCCGAAAGUGUGGGGAUCAAACAGG